CUGCUUGCCUUAUGAAGAACACCACAAUAAGACUAGCUAUAUACUUCAAUUUCUUUGCUAAUGGCUCUUUCAUGUAGCUUAGUGCCCAAAACCAUGCCAAUAUUUCCCAGCUUCAAGCCAUGUCUGCUCAAGACAGUAAUAGCCAUGAGAUGCAUAAAUACAACAAGGAGGCCACCACCAAGGCCACCCGUAAAUACUAAACCACCACAAAACAAUGAUUACAAAGACAAGAAAGAGACUACGAUGACAGAGGAGAAGAGUAACACAAAGCUCCAAGAAGAUAAUUCAAAGAUCAAAACAAAUUAACUAGGAAUCUUGUUUGUUAAAGAUCAUAAUAAGUCAUUUGUACUUAGUCUAAAGUUAGUCAAGUACAAAAUGCUUUUAUGAUUAGUGAAACUAGUAGCAGGAAAGUGGUCCUUUUUCCUCCCAAUAUAUAAAAGUAGUAUGAUAUUUUAUUUUGUAGUAGAUGCUUGUGUGGUAAAAUUCACAAAUAGCCAUUUUUCAGCUCUUGUUGAAAAAUAAUCAAUGUCAUGAAGUUUCAAAUUUCACAAAUAAAACUUCAGGACCCUUGCAUGGAGUUUCACCAGUAAAAAUUGAAAUUCCAUGGCAAUGAUUAUUUUUCAAAAACAUAACCGUGAAGGGCAAGUGAGGUGCUAUUUCUACGGUGUGCUUGUAUUGUGCUUCUAUUUCCAAUUUUUCUUUGGUUAUCAUGUUAGGGGUCUAUUUGUUCGUGUACAAAUUAUGUGGGGAUUGUAAUAUAAUGAUUGUAAUGUGCUAUUUCUACGGUGUGCUUGUAUUGUCCUUCUAUUUCCUAUUUUUCUUUGGUUAUCAUGUUAGGGGUCUAUUUGUUCGUGUACAAAUUAUGUGGGGAUUGUAAUAUAAUGAUUGUAAUAUGCUAUUGUUAUCA